GGUUAAGCGACUAAGCGUACACGGUGGAUGCCCUGGCAGUCAGAGGCGAUGAAGGACGUGCUAAUCUGCGAUAAGCGCCGGUAAGGUGAUAUGAACCGUUAUAACCGGCGAUUUCCGAAUGGGGAAACCCAGUGUGACUCGUCACACUAUCAUUAACUGAAUCCAUAGGUUAAUGAGGCGAACCGGGGGAACUGAAACAUCUAAGUACCCCGAGGAAAAGAAAUCAACCGAGAUUCCCCCAGUAGCGGCGAGCGAACGGGGAGGAGCCCAGAGCCUGAAUCAGCAUGUGUGUUAGUGGAAGCGUCUGGAAAGGCGCGCGAUACAGGGUGACAGCCCCGUACACAAAAGCGCAUGUGCUGUGAGCUCGAUGAGUAGGGCGGGACACGUGGUAUCCUGUCUGAAUAUGGGGGGACCAUCCUCCAAGGCUAAAUACUCCUGACUGACCGAUAGUGAACCAGUACCGUGAGGGAAAGGCGAAAAGAACCCCGGCGAGGGGAGUGAAAAAGAACCUGAAACCGUGUACGUACAAGCAGUGGGAGCCCCACCACUAAGCCAGUGGUGAACUCCACAUACGCAUCCUUUGCUGAGGAUACGGUUAACGGAGCGAAAGCGACGUUCAACCUCAAAAGAAGCAGAGGGGGCUUAGUGGUGGGGUGACUGCGUACCUUUUGUAUAAUGGGUCAGCGACUUAUAUUCUGUAGCAAGGUUAACCGAAUAGGGGAGCCGGAGGGAAACCGAGUCUUAACCGGGCGUUAAGUUGCAGGGUAUAGACCCGAAACCCGGUGAUCUAGCCAUGGGCAGGUUGAAGGUUGGGUAACACUAACUGGAGGACCGAACCGACUAAUGUUGAAAAAUUAGCGGAUGACCUGUGGCUGGGGGUGAAAGGCCAAUCAAACCGGGAGAUAGCUGGUUCUCCCCGAAAGCUAUUUAGGUAGCGCCUCGUGAAUUCAUCUCCGGGGGUAGAGCACUGUUUCGGCUAGGGGGCCAUCCCGGCUUACCAACCCGAUGCAAACUGCGAAUACCGGAGAAUGUUAUCACGGGAGACACACGGCGGGUGCUAACGUCCGUCGUGAAGAGGGAAACAACCCAGACCGCCAGCUAAGGUCCCAAAGUCAUGGUUAAGUGGGAAACGAUGUGGGAAGGCCCAGACAGCCAGGAUGUUGGCUUAGAAGCAGCCAUCAUUUAAAGAAAGCGUAAUAGCUCACUGGUCGAGUCGGCCUGCGCGGAAGAUGUAACGGGGCUAAACCAUGCACCGAAGCUGCGGCAGCGACACUAUGUGUUGUUGGGUAGGGGAGCGUUCUGUAAGCCUGCGAAGGUGGCCUGUGAGGGUUGCUGGAGGUAUCAGAAGUGCGAAUGCUGACAUAAGUAACGAUAAAGCGGGUGAAAAGCCCGCUCGCCGGAAGACCAAGGGUUCCUGUCCAACGUUAAUCGGGGCAGGGUGAGUCGACCCCUAAGGCGAGGCCGAAAGGCGUAGUCGAUGGGAAACGGGUUAAUAUUCCCGUACUUGGUGUUACUGCGAAGGGGGGACGGAGAAGGCUAUGUUGGCCGGGCGACGGUUGUCCCGGUUUAAGCGUGUAGGUGUGUGUUCCAGGUAAAUCCGGUUCACUUUAACACUGAGGCGUGAUGACGAGGCACUACGGUGCUGAAGCAACAAAUGCCCUGCUUCCAGGAAAAGCCUCUAAGCAUCAGGUAACAUCAAAUCGUACCCCAAACCGACACAGGUGGUCAGGUAGAGAAUACCAAGGCGCUUGAGAGAACUCGGGUGAAGGAACUAGGCAAAAUGGUGCCGUAACUUCGGGAGAAGGCACGCUGACACGUAGGUGAAGUGAUUUACUCAUGGAGCUGAAGUCAGUCGAAGAUACCAGCUGGCUGCAACUGUUUAUUAAAAACACAGCACUGUGCAAACACGAAAGUGGACGUAUACGGUGUGACGCCUGCCCGGUGCCGGAAGGUUAAUUGAUGGGGUCAGCGCAAGCGAAGCUCCUGAUCGAAGCCCCGGUAAACGGCGGCCGUAACUAUAACGGUCCUAAGGUAGCGAAAUUCCUUGUCGGGUAAGUUCCGACCUGCACGAAUGGCGUAAUGAUGGCCAGGCUGUCUCCACCCGAGACUCAGUGAAAUUGAACUCGCUGUGAAGAUGCAGUGUACCCGCGGCAAGACGGAAAGACCCCGUGAACCUUUACUAUAGCUUGACACUGAACAUUGAGCCUUGAUGUGUAGGAUAGGUGGGAGGCUUUGAAGUGUGGACGCCAGUCUGCAUGGAGCCGGCCUUGAAAUACCACCCUUUAAUGUUUGAUGUUCUAACGUGGACCCGUGAUCCGGGUUGCGGACAGUGUCUGGUGGGUAGUUUGACUGGGGCGGUCUCCUCCUAAAGAGUAACGGAGGAGCACGAAGGUUGGCUAAUCCUGGUCGGACAUCAGGAGGUUAGUGCAAUGGCAUAAGCCAGCUUGACUGCGAGCGUGACGGCGCGAGCAGGUGCGAAAGCAGGUCAUAGUGAUCCGGUGGUUCUGAAUGGAAGGGCCAUCGCUCAACGGAUAAAAGGUACUCCGGGGAUAACAGGCUGAUACCGCCCAAGAGUUCAUAUCGACGGCGGUGUUUGGCACCUCGAUGUCGGCUCAUCACAUCCUGGGGCUGAAGUAGGUCCCAAGGGUAUGGCUGUUCGCCAUUUAAAGUGGUACGCGAGCUGGGUUUAGAACGUCGUGAGACAGUUCGGUCCCUAUCUGCCGUGGGCGCUGGAGAACUGAGGGGGGCUGCUCCUAGUACGAGAGGACCGGAGUGGACGCAUCACUGGUGUUCGGGUUGUCAUGCCAAUGGCACUGCCCGGUAGCUAAAUGCGGAAGAGAUAAGUGCUGAAAGCAUCUAAGCACGAAACUUGCCCCGAGAUGAGUUCUCCCUGAGACUUAGAGUCUCCUGAAGGAACGUUGAAGACGACGACGUUGAUAGGCCGGGUGUGUAAGCGCAGCGAUGCGUUGAGCUAACCGGUACUAAUGAACCGUGAGGCUUAACCUU
rnacentral:rRNA from 1 species